CUUCCCCAUUUUGGCUCAACACCUCCGGCUGCUAUGUUUAGCUGUUAGCUGUAACAGCGAGGCUUCAGCUUGUCUACGUUUAUUUUUACGGCUUUCCUUUUUACUUUCAGCAAGCACAGAGGUGUUUCGUAGUACGGGGUUGAAUCUCAACCUUAAAUGGACGGAGAAGACGACGACUUUAUGUCUGGCAGCCACUCCGAUGAUGGGGGGGGCACUCCAGUUCAGGAUGAGCAUGCGGCAUCAGAUGGCGAGGAGAUGAGGAGUGACCGGCACCAGUCGGAGGACGAGGGCAGUAAUGAUGAAGAUGCUUCACACACGAUGGAGACCAGUGGGGCCAUCAGCGGCUCAGACAACGAAGACCAGCGGGGGGGUGGAGCAGUGGCUCAGACAACGAAAGACCAGCGGGGGGGCGGAGCUAGUGGCUCAGACAACGAAGACCAGCGGGGGGAUGGAGCCAGCGGCUCAGACAAUGAAGACCGGCGGGGGGGCGACAGCGACUCAGAGGGCGAAGCGCCACGAGAACCUGACGACAAAAGUGACUCGGACGUGGAUGUACCGCGGCCCGUCGACAGCGACGACGACUCUCCGGUCAAACGCAGGACGAGUGCAUCGGAGGAUGAGGAAGAUUCGCCGGCGAAACGCAGGAUGAGCACAUCGGACAACGAGGAGUCAGCGAGCAAACAUGCCGCUUCCGAUAACGAGGAGGGGUCGUCUCCCGCCAAACGCAGGGGAAGUACGUCAGACAUGGAGGAAGGGGAGGAGAGGCCCAAAGUGGGCGGAGACAGCGACUCUGACAACGAAGACGCCAAAGCGGCAGCGUCACCAGAACGGCAGUCCAACGCCGACAGUGACUCUGACAGGGCGAUGCCGAGCAGACGCAAGGCAGCACAGAUAGACUCUGAUGAAGAGGAGGAGGCUGGGAAACAGGAGGAUGGGGGAGGGGGAGGAGGAGGAGGGGGCAAGUGGAAGGCUGUGAUGCAGUCCGACAGCGACGAUGAGGACGAAGGCGGGAAAGCCAAAGCUGCAGCAGGAAGUGAUGGAGAGCAGGAGACGCAGCAGAGGGACAGCGACGAGGAAGACGACAAACCAGUUAAGAGGAAGAAGGCCAUCCUGUCAGACAGUGAAGACGAGGAUGAGGAGGAAGACAGAAAAACCAGCGAAGAGGAGUCGAGCCGUGUCGGACGAUGA
rnacentral:lncRNA from 1 species